rnacentral:tRNA from 1 species
GCCCGGGUGGCGGAAUGGCAGACGCGGUGGACUCAAAAUCCACUGUCCGAAAGGGCGUGCGGGUUCGAGUCCCGCCCCGGGCACCA